rnacentral:rRNA from 1 species
AACGAACGCUGGCGGCAUGCCUAACACAUGCAAGUCGAACGAGACCUUCGGGUCUAGUGGCGCACGGGUGCGUAACGCGUGGGAAUCUGCCCUCUGGUUCGGAAUAACUCAGGGAAACUUGAGCUAAUACCGGAUAAUGACUUCGGUCCAAAGAUUUAUCGCCUGAGGAUGAGCCCGCGUCGGAUUAGCUAGUUGGUGAGGUAAAGGCGCACCAAGGCGACGAUCCGUAGCUGGUCUGAGAGGAUGAUCAGCCACACUGGGACUGAGACACGGCCCAGCGUCCUACGGGGGGUAGCAGUGGGGAAUAUUGGACAAUGGGCGGAAGCCUGAUCCAGCAAUGCCGCGUGAGUGAUGAAGGCCUUAGGGUUGAAAAGCUCUUUUACCCGGGAUGAUAAUGACAGUACCGGGAGAAUAAGCCCCGGCUAACUCCGUGCCAGCAGCCGCCGCAG